rnacentral:rRNA from 1 species
AACGAACGCUGGCGGCAUGCCUAACACAUGCAAGUCGAACGAGACCUUCGGGUCUAGUGGCGCACGGGUGCGUAACGCGUGGGAACCUGCCCUUAGGUUCGGAAUAACUCACCGAAAGGGGUGCUAAUACCGGAUAAUGUCUUCGGACCAAAGAUUUAUCGCCUUUGGAUGGGCCCGCGUUGGAUUAGCUAGUUGGUAGGGUAAAAGCCUACCAAGGCGACGAUCCAUAGCUGGUCUGGGAGGAUGAUCAGGCACACUGGGACUGAGACACGGCCCAGACUCCUACGGGAGGCAGCAGUAGGGAAUAUUGGACAGUGGGCGAAAGCCUGAUCCAGCAAUGCCGCGUGAGUGAUGAAGGCCUUAGGGUUGUAAAUCUCUUUUACCCGGGAUGAUAAUGACAGUACCGGGUGAAUAAGCUCCGGCUAACUCCGUG